GAUGAACGCUAGCUACAGGCUUAACACAUGCAAGUCGAGGGACCGGCGCACGGGUGAGUAACACGUAUCCAACCUGCCCUUUACUCGGGGAUAGCCUUUCGAAAGAAAGAUUAAUACCCGAUGUAAAGGAUGGGGAUGCGUUCCAUUAGGUUGUUGGUGAGGUAACGGCUCACCAAGCCUUCGAUGGAUAGGGGUUCUGAGAGGAAGGUCCCCCACAUUGGAACUGAGACACGGUCCAAACUCCUACGGGAGGCAGCAGUGAGGAAUAUUGGUCAAUGGGCGCGAGCCUGAACCAGCCAAGUAGCGUGAAGGAUGACUGCCUAUGGGUUGUAAACUUCUUUUAUAUUAGAAUAUGUAUAAUAUGAAUAAGGAUCGGCUAACUCCGUGCCAGCAGCCGCGGUAAUACGGAGGAUCCGAGCGUUAUCCGGAUUUAUUGGGUUUAAAGGGAGCGUAGGUGGACUGGUAAGUCAGUUGUGAAAGUUUGCGGCUCAACCGUAAAAUUGCAGUUGAUACUGUCAGUCUUGAGUACAGUAGAGGUGGGCGGAAUUCGUGGUGUAGCGGUGAAAUGCUUAGAUAUCACGAAGAACUCCGAUUGCGAAGGCAGCUCACUGGACUGCAACUGACACUGAUGCUCGAAAGUGUGGGUAUCAAACAGGAUUAGAUACCCUGGUAGUCCACACAGUAAACGAUGAAUACUCGCUGUUUGCAAGGGCCAAGCGAAAGCAUUAAGUAUUCCACCUGGGGAGUACGCCGGCAACGGUGCAACUCAAAUGAAUUGACGGA
rnacentral:rRNA from 1 species